CCAUAAAUGAUCUCCACGCAAUUCGCUAAUCCAUUAUAAUGUCUAAACGAAAAGUUAUGGAUGGCUUCGACAGAGGUUUUGGGAUUCGCGUGGACGAGUAAAUGCGCAAAUGUUGCACGACUUGAUUUGAAACUUUUGCCUCCACAUUUAUUGAAGCAGAUCAUGACCAGCCAGUUGAUUAUACCCACAUGCAUGAAUUAUCGAUCACCUGUGAUGAGGCAUCGAAAUGAUUUCAGACUCAGGAUAUUAUUUUACCUCCACUUCCUGGACAUUGUCUCGGUGGUGCAAUUGUUUUCUUCGAUGGUGCGAACCCAUCCCAUGCGGUGAUGUUUAUUCCCAUUCUGAGAGGGUUUUCUCGUUUUUGAAUCGCUAACAACAGACGAUCGUGCUCCUACUCUGGCCGGACCUAUGUCACCCCCGCACGUCCAAACCCUGGUGUUUAAGCGGCAUGUUUGUGUGCUAUUGUCCGCAACUGCCAAAACAAUAUCUAGAAGCUUAUCCGAUUCGUAUUAAUUAUAAAUGCUGUGGUUAAAAUAAAAUAAUGAUCAUGGUAAGAGAGAGCGAGUGUGUAUUAGGGACACGCGGGGCAGGUGUGGGCAUCGCCGGUUAAUGGUGCUGCGCCUGGAGCAUGCUCAACAUCGUGGUAAAUAGUCAUGGGGAUUGAAUCAAAAAGUCAGCCUCUGACCGCCCGGCUUUUGGUCUCUCUCCGUCUCUAUGUGUGAGUGUCUCUUUCCCUCUCACCCCCUCUUACCCUCUCACCCUCACGUUACGCUUCCCUCUCUCACCCUCUGCGUGCCGCUCGCGGUCCAGCGCGAGGGAAGGGAGGGACAGUCACGGAGCGCCGUUACGAACUGCCGCAGCUUGAGGCAACCAGGCACAAUGCAGGAUGGUUGUCCUGGAAGUCCCAAGCAACACCGUUCUGGGCCUGAAUGGCACUAGUAACCAAGCAGAAGCUGGACGGGAUGGCCGUGUAAAUGGCGAUGCAACACCGAUGGAGCUCAGUGCAUCAGAUCUUCUGCAUUUGCAACAGCAACAAGCCCUCCAUGUGGCGGCAAGACAAUACCUCCUCCAUCAGCAGCAGCAGCAGCAGCAGCAGCAGCAGCAACAACAGCAGCAGCAGCAGCAACAACAACAACCCAGCAGCCUCAAAUCUCCAAAAAGCACCGAUAAACAUGUGUCACUCCAGGUGCCGGUUUCCAUGGCGAUGAUGACCCCUCAGAUGAUAAGUCCACAGCAGAUGCAGCAGCUUCUGCAGCAACAUGUCCUGUCACCACAGCAACUACAAGCCUUCCUCCAACAACAAAAUGCCAUGAUGCAACAGCCCCUCUCAUCAUUGCUGCAGCAGCACCUGCAGGAGUAUUACAAAAAACAGCAAGAACAGUUGCACCUGCAGCUUCUACAACAACAACAACAACAACAACAACAACAACAGCAGCAACAGCAACAGCAGCAACAGCAGCAGCACUCAACCAAGCCACCCAAAGAGGUAGGACCAUCAAACAUUGUUCAACAGGCUAUGAGAACAACCAUACAGGGUCAAAGGCCUUCACAGAUGCUGCUGCCUUGGCCUGUGUGGCUAGUGAAGCGCAAACGUUUUCAAAACCCAUUUUUCAAAGCAACCACAUGUCUGGGCAGCAAGCCG
ensembl:lincRNA